AUGUGGCUUUACCUAGUGGCACUGGUGGGCCUUUGGACUCUCCUGUGCUUCUUCAGGGAGAGGCAGGUGGUGAGCCAUCUCCAAGACAAGUAUGUCUUCAUCACGGGCUGUGACUCUGGCUUUGGGAACCUGCUGGCCAGACAGCUGGACAGGAGAGGCAUGAGGGUGCUGGCUGCAUGUCUGACGGAGAAGGGAGCUGAGCAGCUGAGGAACAAGACAUCUGACAGGCUGGAGACAGUGAUCCUGGAUGUCACCAAGACAGAGAGUAUUGUGGCAGCCACUCAGUGGGUGAAGGAGCGUGUUGGGAACAGAGGACUCUGGGGCCUGGUCAACAACACUGGCAUCUCCGUCCCCUCGGGUCCCAGUCAGUGGAUGGACAAACAGAACUUUGCAAGUAUACUGGAUGUGAACCUGUUGGGCAUGAUCGAGGUGACUCUGAGCAUGCUGCCCUUAGUGAGGAAAGCGAGGGGCCGUGUGGUCAACGUCUCCAGCAUUGUGGGCUGAGUGUCUUUUGGUGGUGGUGGUUACUGCAUCUCCAAGUAUGGUGUAGAGGCCUUCUCAGACUCCCUCAGGAGGGAACUCUCCUAUUUUGGGGUGAAGGUGGCUAUAACAGAGCCUGGCUUCUUCCUGACUGAUAUGACUGAGAGUGAAAGAUUAUCAUCAAACAUCCAGGUGCUGUGGGACCAGACCAGGGAGAAAUCAGGGAGAUCUAUGGCGAGAAAUACCUGGCAUCCUGUCUGAAAUGCCUAAACAAAAUGAACCAGAGGUGCAACACAAACCUGAAUUUGGUGACUGACUGCAUGGAACACGCUCUGACUGCCUGUCACCCUCGAAUCCGAUGCUCAGUAGGCUGGGAUGCCAAGUUCUUCUUCCUCCCCUUGAGCUACCUGCCCACCUUUCUUGUGGAUGCUGUUCUCUACUGGAUUUCCCUGAAGCCUGAGAAAGCCCUCUGA
rnacentral:lncRNA from 1 species